rnacentral:rRNA from 1 species
ACGAAGGGAGCUAGCGUUGUUCGGAAUUACUGGGCGUAAAGGGCGCGUAGGCGGUCUAGUUAGUCAGAUGUGAAAUCCCCGGGCUUAACCCGGGAACUGCGUUUGAUACUGCUAGGCUUGAAUUCGGGAGAGGUGAGUGGAAUUCCCAGUGUAGAGGUGAAAUUCGUAGAUAUUGGGAAGAACACCGGUGGCGAAGGCGGCUCACUGGACCGACAUUGACGCUGAGGCGCGAAAGCGUGGGGAGCAAACAG